GUGGGGAAUCUUCCGCAAUGGACGAAAGUCUGACGGAGCGACGCCGCGUGAGUGAAGAAGGCCUUCGGGUCGUAAAGCUCUGUCAUCAGGGACGAACGGCCGGUGGAGUGGAAAGCCACCGGAUUGACGGUACCUGAGAAGGAAGCCACGGCUAACUACGUGCCAGCAGCCGCGGUAAUACGUAGGUGGCAAGCGUUGUCCGGAAUUAUUGGGCGUAAAGCGCGCGCAGGUGGGAUCUUAAGUCCAUUUUGAAAGUUCGGAGCUCAACUCCGUGAUGGGAUGGAAACUGGGAUUCUUGAGUACCGGAGAGGAAAGCGGAAUUCCCCGUGUAGCGGUGAAAUGCGUAGAUAUGGGGAGGAACACCAGUGGCGAAGGCGGCUUUCUGGACGGUGUCUGACACUGAGGCGCGAAAGCCAGGGGAGCGAACGGGAUUAGAUACCCCUGUAGUCC
rnacentral:rRNA from 1 species